rnacentral:rRNA from 1 species
AGAGUUUGAUCAUGGCUCAGAUUGAACGCUGGCGGCAUGCUUUACACAUGCAAGUCGAACGGCAGCACAGGGAGCUUGCUCCCGGGUGGCGAGUGGCGCACGGGUGAGUAAUACAUCGGAACGUGUCCUGUUGUGGGGGAUAACUGCUCGAAAGGGUGGCUAAUACCGCAUGAGACCUGAGGGUGAAAGCGGGGGAUCGCAAGACCUCGCGCAAUUGGAGCGGCCGAUGCCCGAUUAGCUAGUUGGUGAGGUAAAGGCUCACCAAGGCGACGAUCGGUAGCUGGUCUGAGAGGACGACCAGCCACACUGGGACUGAGACACGGCCCAGACCUCCGUACGGAGGCA